rnacentral:rRNA from 1 species
CGUAGGAGACAAACGUUAUCCGGAGUUACUGGGCGUAAAGGGCGUGUAGGCGGUUCGUUAAGUCUGGCGUGAAAGCUCUCGGCUAAACCGGGAGAGGUCGUUGGAUACUGGCGGACUGGAGGACGGUAGAGGCGUGUGGAAUUCCGGGUGUAGUGGUGAAAUGCGUAGAGAUCCGGAGGAACACCAGUGGCGAAGGCGACACGCUGGGCCGUACCUGACGCUAAAGCGCGACAGCAUGGGGAGCGAACGGGAUUAGAAACCCCGGUAGUCCAUGCCGUAAACGAUGUCAGCUAGAUGUUCAAGACGCGCAAGCGGCUGGGGUAUCGAAGCCAACGCGGUAAGCUGACCGCCUGGGGAGUACGGUCGCAAGGCUA